AGAAGAACAGUGAACUUGGAGUCAGAAGGUCUGUGUGGAACUGGGGCUCCAACAUGGGCCAUCACUGACCAUGAUCCAUUCC
ensembl:miRNA predicted gene, 27881